AUUGAACGCUGGCGGCAUGCUUUACACAUGCAAGUCGAACGGCAGCACGGGUGCUUGCACCUGGUGGCGAGUGGCGGACGGGUGAGUAAUGCAUCGGAACGUGUCCUGAAGUGGGGGAUAACGCAUCGAAAGAUGUGCUAAUACCGCAUAUUCUCUGAGGAGGAAAGUAGGGGAUCGAAAGACCUUAUGCUUUUGGAGCGGCCGAUGUCUGAUUAGCUAGUUGGUAGGGUAAUGGCUUACCAAGGCGACGAUCAGUAGUUGGUCUGAGAGGACGACCAGCCACACUGGGACUGAGACACGGCCCAGACUCCUACGGGAGGCAGCAGUGGGGAAUUUUGGACAAUGGGCGCAAGCCUGAUCCAGCAAUGCCGCGUGAGUGAAGAAGGCCUUCGGGUUGUAAGACGUCUUUCAGUUGAGAAGAAAAGUACGUGACUAAUAAUACAUGAUUCAUGACGGUAUCAACAGAAGAAGACACCGG
rnacentral:rRNA from 1 species